CAAAGUGGGCCCAAUUAUCUUCAUUUGCUUCGCUGUACACUCACCGACACUACCCACCAAUUACAACACUCCUUUACUGUGAUAUGCGUAACAUCUGAUAAUAACUCAACAAGUGGAACAUUAUUAUACACCAAAAAUAAGACAAAGGAUUUAAAAUAAAAACAAAGUACAGCAACAGAACAAAAGAAAAGAAAAGAAAAAACAGUGCCCUUUACUCAGAUAAACGGCUCACUCACUAUUAAAGGACAUUUAAAAAUUAAAUGAAAUUAAAUAAAAAUCGUCUCUACAAGCAAGUCACAAAUAAAAAUAUGACUCCAAAAACCCAAAUUUAAUUAAACAAACGGAAAAUGGCGGUUUAGGACAAAUAAACGGACACAAUUACCGAAACUGACACUGUGAGUAGAGCUUUCAGUAGCGCCGGAGUGUUAACGUUACCGGCGUUCUUCUUCGCCGUACUGUUCUCCGAAUCUGCAGUGGGACUAUCCGCCGGAGAACCAGCUGGAGAUGAAGUCGGUGGAGCAGGAGGAGACAUCAUUGGAGUAGGAGAGCUGGCUUCCGGAGCAGGGGCUGGUGCUGGUGUUGGAGAAGUCUCCGGAGCUGGUCCUGGUGCUGGGGAUGGAGCUUUUCCGUACAAUUCCACAGGUAGAAGCACACUGUCGACGGUGAAAAUGCAGAAGGGAGUAGAGUCAAUGACUGUGGAAGCGAUUCUGGACGAAUCGACACCUGUGUCAAGUGUCACCUGGUCACCUUCUGUUGAAACUGCCAGAUCAUACUUGCUAGCGCCAUUAGUAGCUAGAGUUGAAAUCGGAUCCUUCGUCGUUUUCAAGGUUCCAAUAGGAGUGUAACUCGGAAUAGCAUGGUACUGCAACAACGAAACAACAUCAGCGCUACUGAGAUCGCUCAGAUCUGGAACUUUAGCUCCCUUAAACGCCUCAUCAUUUGGGGCAAAAAUAGUCAAACCCUUCUCAAUAGCAGUUUGAUACGUCUUGAGAACUCCAGAUUUGACAAGUAAUGAAGCAAAUGUUUUACACCCAGCUUUCUCCAAUGCACCAGUAAUAUUAAAAUCACCAGAUGGCGCCGGUGCCGUCAAAAUACCCGGAGCAAUAAUCGGAGCACUAACUUCCAACACAGAGAUAUUAUACUGGAUUUGCUUCACAGAUUUAGUAUAUGUAGACGCCAAUGGUGAGUUCGGAAUAGCUGAACCAAAACCUACUUUACCACCUUUAAGAUCGGUAAUGUUAACAGAACCUAUGUUUCCAUGAGCAUUGCCGGUAGUUUGGUAAAGAGUAGUGGAAGUCGUAGUACCGUCGGAGAUCUUAUGAAGUUUAGUACCGUCAAAGUAAUCAAGCAAAACAUGAAGAGAGAGGACAUUUUUGAUGACGGAAAGUGGAUGUUUGUCGACUAUAGCAGACAUAGCUCCAUUAGGCAAAGCUAAAACGGUAAUAGUUUCACGGCUGUUAAUCUCGUCGGCGAGUUUAGUUUGUGAGAGAUAACUGUUGAAUACACUGUACUCCGGGAACUUGUUCAAAAUUUCAGUGAUGUUGUGUGCAUGAACGGAAACGGUAAGGAGAGUGAAGAGGAAGAAGUGUAGGGUAGUCAUGGUGUAUGUUAGCAAAG
rnacentral:misc_RNA from 1 species